rnacentral:rRNA from 1 species
UACGAGGGGGCAAGCGUUGUUCGGAAUUAUUGGGCGUAAAGGGUGCGUAGGCGGUUUGGUAAGUCUUAUGUGAAAUCUACAGGCUCAACUUGUAGUCUGCAUGAGAAACUGCCGGGCUUGAGUAUGGGAGAGGUGAGUGGAAUUCCUGGUGUAGCGGUGAAAUGCGUAGAUAUCAGGAGGAACACCUGUGGCGAAAGCGGCUCACUGGACCAUAACUGACGCUGAUGCACGAAAGCUAGGGGAGCAAACAGG